AUUGAACGCUGGCGGCAGGCCUAACACAUGCAAGUCGAGCGGAUGAAGGGAGCUUGCUCCUGGAUUCAGCGGCGGACGGGUGGGUAAUGCCUAGGAAUCUGCCUGGUAGUGGGGGAUAACGUCCGGAAACGGGCGCUAAUACCGCAUACGUCCUGAGGGAGAAAGUGGGGGAUCUUCGGACCUCACGCUAUCAGAUGAGCCUAGGUCGGAUUAGCUAGUUGGUGGGGUAAAGGCCUACCAAGGCGACGAUCCGUAACUGGUCUGAGAGGAUGAUCAGUCACACUGGAACUGAGACACGGUCCAGACUCCUACGGGAGGCAGCAGUGGGGAAUAUUGGACAAUGGGCGAAAGCCUGAUCCAGCCAUGCCGCGUGUGUGAAGAAGGUCUUCGGAUUGUAAAGCACUUUAAGUUGGGAGGAAGGGCAGUAAGUUAAUUCCUUGCUGUUUUGACGUUACCAACAGAAUAAGCACCGGCUAACUUCGUG
rnacentral:rRNA from 1 species